AUUGAACGCUGGCGGCAUGCCUUACACAUGCAAGUCGAACGGUAACGGGCCUUCGGGUGCCGCCGAGUGGCGAACGGGUGAGUAUUACAUCGGAACGUGCCCGAUCUUGGGGGAUAACGAGGCGAAAGCUUUGCUAAUACCUCAUACGAUCUACGGAUGAAAGCAGGGGACCGCAAGGCCUUGCGCGGACGGUGCGGCCGAUGGCAGAUUAGGUAGUUGGUGGGAUAAAAGCUUACCAAGCCGACGAUUUGUAGCUGGUCUGAGAGGAUGAUCAGCCACACUGGGACUGAGACACGGCCCAGACUCCUACGGGAGGCAGCAGUGGGGAAUGUUGGACAAUGGGCGCAAGCCUGAUCCAGCCAUGCCGCGUGCAGGAUGAAGGCCUUCGGGUUGUAAACUGCUUUUGUACGGAACGAAAAGCCUUCUUUUAAUACAGGAGGGUCAUGACGGUACCGUAAGAAUAAGCACCGGCUAACUACGUG
rnacentral:rRNA from 1 species